UUCCUCAAGGCUCAGUUCUUGGACCAAUACUGUUUAUCUUAUACAUGCUUCCUUUAGGUAACAUAAUAAGGAAACACUCCCUCAACUUUCAUUGUUACGUUGAUGAUACCCAAUUCAUUUAUCUAUUAAACCUGUUGAAGCCAGUCAGCUAACUAAACUACAGGAACAAAACUGAACUACAAUUAAC